UACGUAGGUGGCGAGCGUUGUUCGGAUUUAUUGGGCGUAAAGGGUCCGCAGGGGGUUGAUUAAGUCUGACGUGAAAUCCCUGAGCUUAACUCAGGAACUGCGUUGGAGACUGGUUGACUAGAGUGUUGGAGAGGUGAUUGGAAUUCCAGGUGUAGCGGUGGAAUGCGUAGAUAUCUGGAAGAACAUCGAAAGCGAAGGCAGAUCACUGGACAAUGACUGACCCUCAGGGACGAAAGCAUGGGGAGCAA
rnacentral:rRNA from 1 species